UUCUCUGUAUAGCCUUGGCUGUCCUGGAACUCACUCUGUAGACCAGGCUGGCCUUGAACUCAGAAACUCACCUGCCUCUGCCUCCCAAGUGCUGGGAUUAAAGGCGUGCGCCACCACUGCCCA
rnacentral:miRNA from 1 species